CUUAGUCAGUUAUUUAUGUGUGGCGAUUUAUAAGAAUCGCUUUUUGUGGAGAGUUGGAACUCUAUAUUCUUUUUUUUUGGAGAGAACUUCACAUUCCUUCAUUUUUCGGAGAGACACAUCUUUUUGGAAAGACACACAUUUUUGGAGAGAGUUAGAACUCCACAUUUCUGCUGAAGACUCUUCGAGAGAUUGAUCUUGAAGAUACAAGGAGACUGCGACAGACACAUUAUUUCUGAGGAGAAACAGAGAAGAUGGUUAUCUUUGGCAACGACCACCAGCCACCAUGGAAAUUUCGACAUGAAACUCCCAAGAUAAGUUUCACACAUAUGUAUGGGGAUCACAUGUGAUUCGAACUGUGAAUAAUUGAACUUGUUGUUAAAUUAAUAUUCCUUGCUUGGCCAACUCUUGUUUAUAUAUGUUGUAUAUUUCUCUAUAUCUUAAUAAUUGUUAUAAGAGUGGAAUAAAUCCCAUCUGUUCAAA